UACGUAGGGACCAAGCGUUGUUCGGAUUUACUGGGCGUAAAGGGCGCGUAGGCGGCGUGGUAAGUCACUUGUGAAAUCUCUGAGCUUAACUCAGAACGGCCAAGUGAUACUGCUGUGCUCGAGUGUGGAAGGGGCAAUCGGAAUUCUUGGUGUAGCGGUGAAAUGCGUAGAUAUCAAGAGGAACACCUGAGGUGAAGACGGGGUUGCUGGGCCAACACUGACGCUGAGGCGCGAAAGCCAGGGGAGCAAACGGG
rnacentral:rRNA from 1 species